rnacentral:rRNA from 1 species
GAUGAACGCUGGCGGCGUGCCUAAUACAUGCAAGUCGAGCGAACGGACGAGAAGCUUGCUUCUCUGAUGUUAGCGGCGGACGGGUGAGUAACACGUGGAUAACCUACCUAUAAGACUGGGAUAACUUCGGGAAACCGGAGCUAAUACCGGAUAAUAUUUUGAACCGUAUGGUUCAAAAGUGAAAGACGGUCUUGCUGUCACUUAUAGAUGGAUCCGUGCUGCAUUAGCUAGUUGGUAAGGUAACGGCUUACCAAGGCAACGAGGCAUAGCCGACCUGAGAGGGUGAUCGGCCACACUGGAACUGAGACACGGACCCGACUCCUACGGGAGGCAGCAGUAGGGAAUCUUCCGCAAUAGGCGAAAGCCUGACGGAGCAACGCCGCGUGAGUGAUGAAGGUCUUCGGAUCGUAAAACUCUGUUAUUAGGGAAGAACAUAUGUGUAAGUAGCUGUGCACAUCUUGACGGUACCUAAUCAGAAAGCCACGGCUAACUACGUG